AACGAACGCUGGCGGCAUGCCUAACACAUGCAAGUCGAACGAAAACUCCGGGUCUAGUUGCGCACCUGGGCGUGCCGCGUGGGAACCUACCCUUAGGUACGCUGUAACUCAGAGAGAUUUGAGCUAAUACCGGAUGAUGUCUUCGGACCAACGAUCUAUCGCUGUUUGCUGGGCCCGCGUUGGAUUCGCUAGUUGGUGGGGUACAGGCAUACCAAGGCGACGAUGCAUAGCUGGUCUGAGAGGAUGAUCAGCCACACUGGGAAUGCGACACGGCCUAGACUCCUACGGGAGGGAGCAGUGUGGAAUAUUGUACGAGGGGCGAUAGCGUGAUCAAGCAACGCGGCGGGAGUGAUGAAGGCCUUAGGGUUGUAAAGCUGUUUUAGCCGAGAUGAUAAUGACAGUAACGGGAGAAUAAGCACCGGCUAACUCCGUG
rnacentral:rRNA from 1 species